ACAUUUUGUUGGCAUCUUUAUUUGUGACCGUCUAUUGCCUAUUUGAAAUGACGCUUUUUGCUCUCAUUGGAACUACCAUAACAUAUUUUGCCCACUUAUGGAUGUUUCCAUUUGAGGCAGUAAUGUACAUCAUUGCUUGGCUAGCAGUGAUAUUUCUGUCUCGAAAUUAUAGACAAGACUGUUGCUCUCAACAGAGAGGGAUAGGAUAUUUGUGUUGCAGUGUCAUUGUCUUGUUUAUAAUUAUUGCAUUUGGUGCCAUCUGCUUUUACUUUGCAACUACAGUAUUCAUAAACACAGAAGAUCAUGCUGGGGGCUUGGCUUUGAUGGCUUUACUCCAGGUUUUAGCAGCAACGUCCUUAUUCAAGCAUCCCAAACAGUUACCUGGUUGUCUUCACAUUAUGAUCUACAUGUUUGGAUCAGUAGGACUCAUUAUUAUCAAUUCAGUUGCUCUUGUAAUGGAACUGAUUUUGAAA